UGGGGAAUCUUGCGCAAUGGGCGAAAGCCUGACGCAGCCAUGCCGCGUGGAUGAUGAAGUCUUAGGAUUGUAAAAUCCUUUCACCGGUGGAGAUAAUGACUGUAGCCGGAGAAGAAGCCCCGGCUAACUUCGUGCCAGCAGCCGCGGUAAUACGAAGGGGGCUAGCGUUGCUCGGAAUUACUGGGCGUAAAGGGCGCGUAGGCGGACAUUUAAGUCAGGGGUGAAAUCCCAGAGCUCAACUCUGGAACUGCCUUUGAUACUGGAUGUCUUGAGUGUGAGAGAGGUAUGUGGAACUCCGAGUGUAGNGGUGAAAUUCGUAGAUAUUCGGAAGAACACCAGUGGCGAAGGCGACAUACUGGCUCAUUACUGACGCUGAGGCGCGAAAGCGUGGGGAGCAAACAGGAUUAGAUACCCUGGUAGUCCACGCCGUAAAAGCGAUGAUUUGGC
rnacentral:rRNA from 1 species